UACGUAGGCAGCAAGCGUUGUUCGGAGUUACUGGGCGUAAAGGGUGCGUAGGCGGCUUGGUAAGUGUGGUGUGAAAUCUCCCGGCUCAACUGGGAGGUGCGCUACAAACUGCCGGGCGUAGAGUGCGGGAGAGGAGAGUGGAAUUCCUGGAUGUAGCAGUGAAAUGCGUAGAUAUCAGGAAGAACACCCGAUGGCGAAGGCAGCUCUCGUGGGACGGUACUGG
rnacentral:rRNA from 1 species